rnacentral:rRNA from 1 species
CUAACCGUAAACUAUGCCAACUAGCGAUCCCGUCGGUGUUAAAUAUUGACUCGACGGGCAGCUUCCGGGAAACCAAAGUUUAUAGGUUCCGGGGGAAGUAUGGUUGCAAAGCUUAAACUUAAAGGAAUUGACGGAAGGGCACCACCAGGAGUGGAGCCUGCGGCUUAAUUUGACUCAACACGGGGAAACUCACCCGGCCAGGACACAAUAAGGAUUGACAGAUUGAUAGCUCUUUCUUGAUUUUGUGGGUGGUGGUGCAUGGCCGUUCUUAGUUGGUGGAGCGAUUUGUCUGGUUAAUUCCGAUAACGAACGAGACUCUAGCCUAUUAAAUAGACGAUAUAUUUUAUUCGUAUAUCGAGCUUCUUAGAGGGACGAGCAGCUUCUAGCUGCACGAGAUUGAGCAAUAACAGGUCUGUGAUGCCCUUAGAUGUCCGGGGCUGCACGCGCGCUACAAUGAAAAUAGCAGCGCGUUUCGAAAACCUUUUCUGGAAAGAAUUGGUAAACGCGAAAUAUUUUCGUGAUAGGGAUAGGGGAUUGCAAAUUAUUGCCCUUGAACGAAGGAAUUCCCCAGUAAAAUUCGAGUCAUCAGCUCGAGUUG